rfam:Salmo salar isolate Sally breed double haploid chromosome ssa25, whole genome shotgun sequence.
UGCAUUCACUACUAAGUCGCUCUGGAUAAGAGCGUCUGCUAAAUGACUAAAA